AUUUCUCUUGACGAAAAUCGUGACGUGUUACUUCGGGUUGCUCGGGAACCGGAUCGUUUAUACAUGUACAAUGCAUUUAAAUAUAUAAUAUUAUAUAUUAUUAAUUUCGUAAAUGCGUACGAUGUAACACGAUAACCAAUCUACAGAUAAACGCUGUACGCAUCAAUGACAAUGUAAAUCGUAUGGACGGUGUAAAUGUUGAGUCAGAAAAUUUUGCCGUACCAUCGAUAAUCUCGGAGCUUUGCAAUAGUUGUGGUUUUGGCGUUACAUCAUCUACCCACACUUAUGAACCAACACCGGCAGUUGUUAUUUUUGUUGGGAGUGACGUGUCUGACGGCUGCCGAAGUCCCUUUGUCUACCAAGGACAACUUAGACACCGAAAUUAUAUCCUCACGGGAAGUUUCUCGAACCGA